AUGGGGCUGUUUGAAGCUAAGCUAGUGGCCGCUGUCUUCUCUUCCGGCACAGGGAAAUGGCGAGCCUUUUCAAGCGAGUUGUUGCUGGGCUUCCUGUUAUGGUCGUGGAUGGAUCUCUUCAUGUCGCGCCAUUAUGCACAUGGUUGCUUCUACUGGGUUUCAGGUUCAAUUGAAAAGUUGCUAGUGCUUGACAUUCAGAGGAUGGAGUUCUCCAUGGCUGACCACCCACCCUGUGCCAGAGCUUCGAGCGAUGAUGUGGCCAUCGUGGAGGCAGGCCAAGGCAUGAUUCGGAUGUUUGGGCCUAAACACGACACAUCUCGCCUUAAAUAUAACGUUUGGCGAAACAAUGCUGGGAUUUCUACCCAGUGGCAGAUGGAGGAGAGGACGUUCUCGCUGGAUUCUAGGUCCUUGCUCACGGGUGCGGUGGGGAGGCACUUGCUCCUGUAUCAGUGUGGAAGCUCGUCGGUCCAGACAGGUGGUUUCACGCUCGACGUCGACACAUCCCAGGUUGAGAGGGUGUGUGCUUCAUUUCCCGCACCGUCACACGUAUAUUGCAACUUCCCACCAUCGUUAUUAUCGUCACCGACAGUGUCAAGUGGCGCACGCCAUGCUGACGUCCAGGGAGCUGGGGAAUCUGUGCCAGUGCCUGAAGUACAGGAAGCUGGCCCUGGGGGCGCGCAAGGAACUGUCCUCCCAGUGGUCGUUCAAGUUUCAAACCACUUGUUCGUCGUCGUCAACGAUGCCGAGGCGCGUCGUGCUGUGGCGAGGGAAAGGAGGACAGGCACACACCAUGCUGCUGAUGUCCAGGGAGCGGGGAGCGCUGUGCCGGUGCCCCAAGUGGAAGAAGCUGACCCUGGAGACGUGCAAGGACCUGCCCUUGCAGCGGCCGCUCGAGCCCCAAACCCCUUGCUCGCCGUCGACAGUGAUGCCGGCGGCGCUGGGGCUGGACCUGUGGGGGGUGCAGGGGCUGGUAGCCGAGCUAGAGAGGGCGCACGAGGAGACAAGGAGCCAGAGUAG
rnacentral:rRNA from 1 species